AACGCGAAGAACCUUACCUACCCUUGACAUGCCUGGAAUCCUGCAGAGAUGCGGGAGUGCUCGAAAGAGAGCCAGGACACAGGUGCUGCAUGGCCGUCGUCAGCUCGUGUCGUGAGAUGUUGGGUUAAGUCCCGCAACGAGCGCAACCCUUGCCAUUAGUUGCUACUAAAGGGCACUCUAAUGGGACUGCCGGUGACAAACCGGAGGAAGGUGGGGAUGACGUCAGGUCAUCAUGGCCCUUAUGGGUAGGGCUACACACGUCAUACAAUGGCCGGUACAGAGGGCUGCCAACCCGCGAGGGGGAGCCAAUCCCAGAAAACCGGUCGUAGUCCGGAUCGCAGUCUGCAACUCGACUGCGUGAAGUCUGAAUCGCUAGUAAUCGCGGAUCAGCGUGCCGCGGUGAAUACGUUCCCGGGUCUUGUACACACCG
rnacentral:rRNA from 1 species